rnacentral:rRNA from 1 species
GAGUGAACGCGUGGCGGCGUGCUUAACACAUGCAAGUCGAACGAACAGGAGGAGAGCUUGCUCUCCAAAGUUAGUGGCGGACGGGUGAGUAACGCGUGAGUAACCUGCCUCAUGCAGGGGGAUAACAUCUGGAAACGGAUGCUAAUACCGCAUAAACUAUGGAUGACCGCAUGGUCAUUAUAGCAAAGAUUUAUCGGCAUGAGAUGGACCCGCGUUGGAUUAGCUAGUUGGUGAGAUAACAGCCCACCAAGGCGACGAUCCAUAGCCGGCCUGAGAGGGUGAACGGCCACAUUGGGACUGAGACACGGCCCAA